rnacentral:lncRNA from 1 species
UAGUAUGUUAAAUUAUGGAUGUUAAUUCUCGGGGUGUCGGCUAGUAAAAUUAGGCAUUAGUUCCCAUUUUGUUAAGAAUACUAAAAGAUGGGUGAGGGGUUUGACAUGUUGAGGAUUUGCAAAAUAGUUAGGAAUCUGUUUGGGUUUGUUUCUCGUUGUGGUUGAGUUCUCUUAAUGGAUAUGUACCAAAGAGUGAAAAGAUCUCGACGUAUAUAACUGUUUAACUUUAACAAAAGCACCACCCUUGAACUCUCUCUCUCUCUCUAUCUCUCUUUUUCUUUUUUUUACUUUUGGGAGAUUGGAUAUGUAUGAUUUAUUAUGCCUCUAACCAAGGAACUGUCAAGUACCGAGAGAAUCACCUAGGGUGUUUCACAAAAACAUGACUAAAGAAGUGGAUUAAAUUCGUUCAUGCAGCAAAGAUGCAAUUUAACACAGUUCUUCAUAUUUGAAAAUAAACAACUCCAAUUUAAGCAGCCUAUGCACUAUCUUCCCCUUGUCUCUUAUCCCAUGUUGUAGGUAUCAUGAAGGUUUGUUAUUGAAGGAGGAAAGUCAAUUUUUUUUUUCAACAAAUUUUCAAGAAAAAAUUGCAUGCCGCUCAAAAGCUUGCUUGAAGCGGAAGCUUCGCUGGAAAGGCUGAGCACAGAUUUUAGGUGGGAGUUUCAACCAUAUCAACAGCUUUUAGUGGCCUUAUAAGAGGCCCUUCAGCUAUCUCCAAGGAAUUAUGCUCCCUAUCAAGUGAUACAAUGUAUUGGCACCUUAGCAUCUAGGCUUGAUAUUUCACCAUGAUCACUUAAGAAAGGUUGGGAGAUAAUGUUCCUAAACUAACAUCCAUUGCCCUGGAUGCAAGUUAUUUAGUUAUUUAGAAUUAUCAUGAGGCCAUCCAGGACAUAGAAUGGUGCUGAGGUAUUUGGUUGUUAAGUGGCAAAGAAUAGCUAAAGCAAUGCCGCACAGGAGCUUUGUCAAAAUCGAUCAGAAUGGUUCAUCAAUUCUCAUUAUGAAGACAAAAUUGUUUCAGGAAAGGGCAAGUGAUACAUUCUGGUAAGCAGUUACUGGAUUAUCUGGUUAGUGGUUAUAGUACCUGGUAAUUUAGCAGUUCACUACAUAGUGUUUUAUGUUGUAGCUGUUGUCUGUCGUGUUGAUCUGGUAAGAUUUCCUAUUGUUUUAGGAGUAUUAGGAGAUGAGCAAGUAACAUGGCAUAGUAAGGUUGCUCUUGAAAUAGUUCCUAGUUAGGACUUUAUUCGCAUUUGUUUCUCAUUGUAGUUGAGUUUCCUUUAUGGAUGUGGGCUGGAAUGCUAUGGUGCCUAUAUAUAUAUAUAUAUAU